GACGAACGCUGGCGGCGUGCUUAACACAUGCGAGUCGAACGCUGAAGCUCAGCUUUUGUUGGGUGGAUGAGUGGCGAACGGGUGAGUAACACGUGAGUAACCUGCCUCCUUCUUUGGGAUAACGCCCGGAAACGGGUGCUAAUACUGGAUAUUCACUGGUCUUCGCAUGGGGGUUGGUGGAAAGGGUUUUUCUGGUGGGGGAUGGGCUCGCGGCCUAUCAGCUUGUUGGUGGGGUGAUGGCCUACCAAGGCUUUGACGGGUAGCCGGCCUGAGAGGGUGCCCGGUCACAUUGGGACUGAGAUACGGCCCAGACUCCGACGGGAGGCAGCAGUGGGGAAUAUUGCACAAUGGGCGCAAGCCUGAUGCAGCGACGCCGCGUGAGGGAUGGAGGCCGUCGGGUUGUGAACCUCUUUCGCUCAUGGUCAAGCCGCAACAAUGGUUGUGGUGAGGGUAGUGGGUAAAGAAGCGCCGGCUAACUACGUG
rnacentral:rRNA from 1 species